rnacentral:rRNA from 1 species
UACGGAAGGUCCGGGCGUUAUCCGGAUUUAUUGGGUUUAAAGGGAGCGUAGGCCGGCUUUUAAGUCAGCUGUGAAAGUCCGCGGCUCAACCGUGGAAUUGCAGUUGAAACUGGAGGCCUUGAGUGCACACAGGGAUGCCGGAAUUCAUGGUGUAGCGGUGAAAUGCUUAGAUAUCACGAAGAACUCCGAUUGCGAAGGCAGCUCACUGGACUGCAACUGACACUGAGGCUCGAAAGUGUGGGUAUCAAACAGG